GUAGUUGUUAAACAACUUCUACUAUUUUAAGUUUAACAUCUAUGUCCAUGCAAACUUUGGUAUGAGCUUAACUAAAUAUCUAUUGCACGAUAUAUUAGGAAAAGAAGAAAAGAGAAGCAGAAGGCCAAAGUUCUGAAGAUGCUUCAAACAAUAAAGAUAAGGAAGAACAAGAAAUUACCCUGAGGCCUUUAAACAUGGAAGACAUGAGAGAGGCUAAGACUCAGGUGGCUGCAAGUUUUGCAUCAGAAGGAUCUGUAAUGAAUGAGUUGAACCACUGGAAUGAUUUGUAUGGUGAAGGAGGUUCAAGGAAGAAACAACAGCUCACUUACUUCCUUUAAAUUGUGGAAUGCUACUUUUAUUUUUGGAUUUGUGACCAUUCAUCCUCAAUGAUAUAUACCUUUAACAAAGGAAGGAUUCCUUCAUCAGAGAUGUUGAACUCAAAGAAUGCCCAAAUGUCAUAGAGAUAUCAUGAUUCCCAGAAAAGCACAAGUUCUACCACACAUAUCUAUUCUCUAAAGGACGUGUGGAUCGUCAUGCACUAUGUUUGGGAAUGGGUUCUCGGUUUUCGUUUGGGUUGUCUACAAACAAAUGAGCACCUGUAUUAGGGGAUUUAUAUUAUGUCAUGCAUGGUUUUGGAAGAUGCAAUGGCUUUGUAGGAAGUAGGAAUAUUUUACACCAAACAUUUUAGGUAUGCUGUAUUAUAUAAUCAGAAUUUUGUAAAUUGAUUGUGCAACUGUACUGCUUAAUAAUUAAAAUUAGAAAGCUUCUAUCUUAUCUAAUUGUAACAGACAAAUUUAUAAAUGUUGCUGCCUUGUACUCAAAUUGUGUUUAAAAUAAACAACUUAUUCAUUCUCUAUA